rnacentral:rRNA from 1 species
AUUGAACGCUGGCGGCAGGCCUAACACAUGCCAGUCGAGCGGAGCGGCGGACGGGUGAGUAAUGCCUAGGAAUCUGCCUGGUAGUGGGGGAUAACGUCCGGAAACGGGCGCUAAUACCGCAUACUAUCAGAUGAGCCUAGGUCGGAUUAGCUAGUUGGUGGGGUAACGGCCUACCAAGGCGACGAUACGUAACUGGUCUGAGCGGAGGAGCAGUCACACUAGAACGGAGACACGGUCCAGACUCCUACGGGGGGCAGCAGUGGGGAAGAUUGGACAAUGGGCGAAAGCCUGAGCCAGCCAUGCCGCGUGUGUGAAGAAGGUCUUCGGGUUGUAAAGCACUUUAAGUUGGGAGGCGUUACCAACAGAAUAAGCACCGGCUAACUUCGGGCCAGCAGCCGCGGUAAGUC